rnacentral:tRNA from 1 species
GCCUGAGUGGCCGAGUAGGCAAGGUUCUCGACUACAACUCGAUGGUCGUGGGUUCAAAUCUCAAUUGCGGUA